rnacentral:tRNA from 1 species
GGGGCUAUAGCUCAGGGGUAGAGCACUUGACUGCAGAUCAAGAGGUCCCCGGUUCAAAUCCGGGUGCCCCCU